GGAGAAAUGGCUGAGUGGCCGAAAGCGUCGGAUUGCUAAUCCGUUGUGUGCUUCAGCACACCGAGGGUUCGAAUCCCUCUUUCUCCG
rnacentral:tRNA from 1 species